rnacentral:rRNA from 1 species
UACAGAGGUCCCAAGCGUUGUUCGGAUUCACUGGGCGUAAAGGGUGCGUAGGUGGUGGGGUAAGUUUGAUGUGAAAUCUCCGGGCUUAACCUGGGAACUGCGUCUGAUACUGGGAGGCUUGAGUAUGGGAGAGGGAUGUAGAAUUCCAGGUGUAGCGGUGAAAUGCGUAGAUAUCUGGAGGAAUACCGGUGGCGAAGGCGGCAUCCUGGACCUAACUGACGCUGAGGCGCGAAAGCUAGGGGAGCAAACGGGGAUUAAGAUACCCGGGGUAGUC